rnacentral:rRNA from 1 species
GACGAACCGUGCGAACGUUGUUCGGAUUCACUGGGCUUAAAGGGCGCGUAGGCGGGUCAGCAAGUCCGGGGUGAAAGCUUUCGGCUCAACCGGAAAAGGGCCUUGGAUACUGCUGGUCUGGAGGAAGGUAGGGGCGUGUGGAACUUCCGGUGGAGCGGUGAAAUGCGCAGAUAUCAGGAAGAACACCCGUGGCGAAGGCGGCUCUCUGGGACGGUACUGACGCUGAGACGCGAAAGCGUGGGGAGCGAACAGG